GAUGAACGCUGGCGGCGUGCCUAACACAUGCAAGUCGAGCGGAGAAUUGUUGCUUGCCUCAAUUCUUAGCGGCGCACGGGUGUGUAACACGCGGGUAACCCGCCCUACACAAAGGGAUAACAAUGAGAAAUCCUUGCUAUUACCGCAUAAGCUUACACUAUCUCAUGAUAGAGUAAGAAAAUUUUUAUUGGUUUCGGAGGGGCCCGCCUCUUAUUAGCUAGUUGGAGGAGUAACCGCUCACCACGGCGACGAGCAGGAGCCGCCCUGAGGGGGUGAGCGGCCACAAUGGGACUGAGACGCGGCCGAAUCUCCUACGGGAGGGAGCAGUGGAGAAUAGUACACAAUGGAGGAAACUCUGAUGGAGCAGCGGCGCGGGGAAGAAGGAGGUUUUGGGAGCGUACACCUCUAUCUACAGGGGAGAAAAAAAUGACGGUACCUGAGUAAGAAGCCCCGGCUAACUACGUG
rnacentral:rRNA from 1 species